AGCGAACGCUGGCGGCAGGCCUAACACAUGCAAGUCGAACGAAGUCUUCGGACUUAGUGGCGGACGGGUGAGUAACACGUGGGAACGUGCCUUUAGGUUCGGAAUAACUCAGGGAAACUUGUGCUAAUACCGAAUGUGCCCUUCGGGGGAAAGAUUUAUCGCCUUUAGAGGGGCCCGCGUCUGAUUAGCUAGUUGGUGAGGUAAAGGCUCACCAAGGCUACGAUCGGUAGCUGGUCUGAGAGGAUGACCAGACACAUUGGGACUGAGACACGGCCGAAACUCCUACGGGAGGCAGCAGUGGGGGAUCUUGCGCAAUGGGCGAAAGCCUGACGGAGCCAUGCCGCGUGGAUGAUGAAGGUCUUAGGAUUGUAAAAUCCUUUCACCGGUGAAGAUAAUGACUGUAGCCGGAGAAGAAGCCCCGGCUAACUUCGUGCCAGCCGCCGCCGUAAAAC
rnacentral:rRNA from 1 species